UUGUGACAAAAUUGACAAAUUAUUAAAUGUCAUGUUACACAAAAAAACAAAACAGCAGCAGAGAAAAUACAAUCCACAAAAGACAAAGCUAAAAUGAUAACAGUGAGACGUGACAACAACAAUCUUUGAUUGAAUUUUCAGAUUAGCAUUGCUCGCUUGCAGGCAGACAAAACAAGCAGAAACAAUAUAUACUGUAUACUGAAGGUGCUGAGAAUAUGGGACUGAUUUUGCAUAUGAUUAACAGAGCCAGGAGAGUGCAGAAUGCAAAACAAAGUGUGGGAGGAUUUGAAACAGUGCCAGAUGCAGGAUAUAAGCUCUACACGCCCAGUCCUCGACUUCUAAUUGCUCUGUCAGAAACCUGCCAAAUGUAUACAGUGAAUUUACAUAAUCCAUUACAUUAAUGUAAUUUUGAUUUGAAUAAAGUUGCAACAUACCUUAUGGUACAGCUGUACAGUCAGCACAGAACUGAGAAGUACCAGGGUGUGUUUAUGUUUACAGUUUAAGUUAUUAAUAACAUGUUUUCAAAGAUGGCAGCUAUGGUGGGGGAUCCCCUGAAUUUGCUCUCUUCCAAAGAAAUGAACAGUCUCUAAUUCGUAUGGUUCUUUAAUUUUAAUGGAGGAAAACACAUUACAUAAAAGUUACAGAUUGAUAUGCAUAAUAUUAAGUGAAAUAAAAAAUUGAACCUAUUCAACCUGUCUAUAAAAUCAGUUUCUUCCAUUCGCACUUCUCCACCACGCAAAACCAAAUAGCUGCCAAAGAGCAUCAAGGCUAGAAUGGACUACAAGACGACAACAAGGUUGGUGAGAAGGUAACAACUGUUCAUGUGAUUUAGAAAUGGAAAAAAAUCCAAAAAACUUCUCUUCCUCUCCUUACAAUAACAGGAAGACCCAACUGGUUGCGGCAGAUGACCGCCCCUCCCUGAGCCUGGUUCUGCUGAAGGUUUCAUCUUGUUAAAAGGGAGUUUUUCCUUCCCAAUGUCACCAACAUUAUAUGAUUGUUAGGGUUUUCUCUGUUUUCUUGGUAUUAUUGUGGAGUCUUUACCUUACAAUAUAAAGUGCCUUGAGGCAACUGUUGUUUAAUUUGGCGCUAUAUAAAUAAAACUGAACUGAAUUGAAGUCACCAUUGGUAACACAUUAUGCACUGAACGUAAUGAACUGAAAUCUUGCAGUGCCCGCAAGGUCCCCCUGCUCAAGAAGGCACAUGUACAGACCUGUCUUAAGUUUGCCAGUGAACAUCUAAAUGAUUCAGAGAGUGCUGUGGUCACAAGAAACCAAAAUCAAGCUCUUCAGCAUCAACUCAGCCUUUGAAGAAAGAGAAAUAGUGAGUAUGACCCAAAGUCAUCCUCACAGUCAAGCACAGAGUUGGAAAAAUACUUUGGGGCUGUUUUUUUGCUAAGGGACCAGGACAAUUUCACUGCAUUGAGGAGCCAUGUGAAUCUCCUUCCUUCAGCCAGAACACUGAAGAUAGUUCAUGGAUGGGUCCUCCACUAUGACCAUGACCCAAAACAUACUGCCAAGGUAACAGAGGAGUGGCUAAAGAAGAACCACAUUAAGUUCAUAUAGUGGCCUAGCCAGUCUCCAGACUUCAAUCCUAUAGAAAAUCUGUGGAGGCAGCUGAAGCUUUGAGUUGCCAAGCAGCAGCCAACAAACAUAAAGGAGAGAGUUUCUGGAAAGAGGAGCAGACCAAAAUCCCUCCUGGGAUGUCUGCAACUACAAGAAACAUCUUCUUGCUGUCGCUGUUGCAAACAAGCGUACCAAGUACUAAGUUAUGUUUUGCUUGAGGAUCUAAUACUUACUUCACUCAAUCAUAUGCAAAUACAUUUCUAACUUCUUUGUAAUGUAUUUUUUCUGGAUUUUGGUUGAUAUUGUCUCUAUUAAAAUUCAAAUGAAACUACCAUUUUUAAGUUAGCAAACCUACAAAUUAAGCAAAAGACCAAAAUAAUUAUUUCCCCCACUUUAUAUCUGGGCUGUUGCUGGUAUGGGUCUGUCUAUUGAACACCUUUGUCUUUGUCACCUUUGUCACAACUUCACUGAAAGAAUCUCCCUGUGAAGUUUUCCAAACAGCCGCACAUGAAUCAAGACUGUAUACGAUUACCACAAAUAUGCAAACUAACUGUAAUGCGCUGUACAAAAUUCCUGGAUUUAUCGCUUAAGCUUGGCUGCAGCUCUGCAUACUGGAUAUUUGUCAAAUUGGACUUGUAUGAGAGGUACGAUAUAAAUAAAAUUCAACUGAGUCAUAGAUGUCAUUAUGGCUACAAAAAUAAACCUGACUUGACAUACAGAUUGACAACAAGUUUUUAUGCCUUUCAUCAGUGUUACAAUGUUCCACAGUCUCCCUCAUAAAUCUUUCACAACUCCAAAGUAUCAGAAGAAUGUGAGACAGAUUAUGUUGCCUUUCUUCAGAAGAGCAGUCCCUCUAUCGGUUCACUUUCAAAAGGAAUGAGUAUAGCUUGAAUGAAUAAUUACAGUGUUGUCUGAGUAUGAGGCCAAACAAUAGCUCUGACAAGCCUAUUUACUAAGAAAAGAAGAAGAGAAUAUCAGGGUAAUAUUAAGGAUUGGUAGGACAAUAGUCUUUUAAAUCCUACUGACAGUUUGCAAGAAUUAUCAGUACCUUUCCCAGAAUGUGAAAUAUGAACUUUUGGGAGCCACUGUAGACGAUUUAAUUGGAAAUAAAUGAGGUGCAGAUGUCAGAUGAUUAAAGGAAUCCAUAAAGCUGUCUUUAUGAAUAUGACACUGGAAUAGUAUUAUAUUUUAACAUAACCAAUCAACAGGAAACCAAGAAAGACAAACAAACUGAAAAAAACAGCACACAGAGCUAUUUGCAAUAUGCACAGACUGAGACACAAAAAAGGGGGAAAAAAAACAAUUUCAGAAAGGGUCAGUCUUGGAACCAUUUCAUUUUUUAACUUUCCCUUUCAAUAUCUAUGUUAUUCUUUGUAAUGGCAAAUUUGACAUUUAUCUUAACAUCUUAACUGCGCAUUUGAUCCAAGCUGUGUUUCCAUUUGUUCAUUUUCAUUCUAGUAGCAUUCUUUUGAAGUCAAGCACAAAUACUUUUGGGCCCAAUUGAAUUUAUUUAGAAAUAAAAUUCUCACAUCACUCUGACCUCUUCUCAAAAUGUCUUCUCCCUUGCCAAACAUAGUGAAGCAAACACAAUAAAACAGUAUUUUAUUAUGACUAUGUUUACACUUACACAACAGUGGGUUUCUAAGGACUGCAUUCACUAAUAAUAUGGGCUUCAACAGCUCAUCUCCCAUCCUCUCCUCUCCCAGUAUUCAUUCAGUGCUUUAAUGCUAUUCUGCGAACUCAAUGAUGUAAAGUUUACACAAUGAUUGUAAAAUUUUAUAUAAUAAAGCAAUUUUCAGUUUCCCACAAAAUGAGCACCAACAUGGAGCAUUUCAGUAAAUGAUGGACAGUGUUCCAGCCAGACUUUUACCACGUCCCCUGCAUGUUAUGCAGAAGCUCGUCUAGUUUGAAACUUUCCUUCAUUUCAUUAAUAUUUGUGGGCAUUUGUGUCACAGACAGCUGUGUAGCAGAUAGAAGAUGGACGCAAAAUGCAGGACUUGGAAGACAACAGGUAAACUUAAAAGUGGCUUUAAUGCUAAACUUACACCAAGUUCAAAAUAAUGCAAGUCAAAAACAAGGAAACCAAAACUUCUAGUAUUCAAAGGAAAUAUGGAACUAGGAGAAAUACAACAAAGGAUAAAAGGGAGACUGAGACUUUAUAUACAAACACAGGAUAACAAGGAAACAGGCAACAGGUGGGAGAACAGCUGAAACUAAUUACAGAUAAUGAAAGAGGGGAAGCAGAAUUGAAUACAAAACACAAGAGACAAGAGGUCCCAAAAUAAAAGACCAGGACUAAGGAGACAAUAAACUGACAGUGUGGGAAAAACAAGAGGGGCAUGAAACCAUAACACCAAAAAGAAAUUGUACCAGGCAUCCUGAUCUUUGAGGACAGACCCUUGCAGAUAGAUGACUCUUUGAGACCACAGAGGGAUCUGCAGCACCCUUCGCACCUGGAGGUCCAUUUCAGUUGGGCACAGGAUCACCACAUAGUAAUCCUUGAAGAUUAUUUAAGAACCACAUCAGUAUCUCAAAAGAGGAAUUUCUAUGUAAAUGGAGACACACCAUGUCAGUCAUUAUCACUUGUAGAUCAGCUCUUCAAACUGACAAGCAGCAAGUGACGCAAAGGUCACACGAGGAAAUGUAAACGGAUCCAAAGAUUAUUUCACUAUCUUCGUACCUGAAGAGGCAGCACCACCAGGGCCACGCAGAUCAUGAUGACUACC